AUUGAACGCUGGCGGCAUGCUUUACACAUGCAGGUCGAACGGUAACAGGUUAAGCUGACGAGUGGCGAACGGGUGAGUAAUGCAUCGGAACGUGCCCGAUCGUGGGGGAUAACGCAGCGAAAGCUGCGCUAAUACCGCAUACGAUCUGAGGAUGAAAGCGGGGGACCGUAAGGCCUCGCGCGAUCGGAGCGGCCGAUGUCAGAUUAGGUAGUUGGUGGGGUAAAGGCCCACCAAGCCGACGAUCUGUAGCUGGUCUGAGAGGACGACCAGCCACACUGGGACUGAGACACGGCCCAGACUCCUACGGGAGGCAGCAGUGGGGAAUUUUGGACAAUGGGCGAAAGCCUGAUCCAGCAAUGCCGCGUGCAGGAAGAAGGCCUUCGGGUUGUAAACUGCUUUUGUACGGAGCGAAAAGGUCCUCUCUAAUACAAGGGGCUCAUGACGGUACCGUAAGAAUAAGCACCGGCUAACUACGUGCCAGCCGCCGCGGUAACAC
rnacentral:rRNA from 1 species